GCGACCCUAGGUCAGGCAAG
rnacentral:rRNA from 1 species